AUUGAACGCUGGCGGCAUGCUUUACACAUGCAAGUCGAACGGUAACAGGCCGCUAGGUGCUGACGAGUGGCGCACGGGUGAGUAAUGCAUCGGAACGUGCCCAGUCGUGGGGGAUAACUACUCGAAAGAGUAGCUAAUACCGCAUACGAUCUAUGGAUGAAAGCGGGGGACCGUAAGGCCUCGCGCGAUUGGUGCGGCCGAUGUCAGAUUAGGUAGUUGGUGGGGUAAAGGCUCACCAAGCCAACGAUCUGUAGCUGGUCUGAGAGGACAACCAGCCACACUGGGACUGAGACACGGCCCAGACUCCUACGGGAGGCAGCAGUGGGGAAUUUUGGACAAUGGGCGCAAGCAUGAUCCAGCAAUGCCGCGUGCAGGAAGAAGGCCUUCGGGUUGUAAACUGCUUUUGGACGGAACGAAACGGCUCUGGUUAAUACCCGGGGCUAAUGACGGUACCGUAAGAAUAAGCACCGGCUAACUACGUG
rnacentral:rRNA from 1 species